GAACAUUUGUUGGACUAUAAGCAUAGAGUUUAAGUAACUAAGAGUCUUUUUCUCAUCCAGACUUUCAUAUAUAUUGCAGCACUCACUUUCCCUAGAUGGACAAAGCUUGGCCUACUUCAUUACCAGUAAGGAAAAGGAAAAAUAUUUCAAAGCACUGAAGACCCAGCAGCUGCUCAAGUUUACCAGAGACCAAAGAUCAUCAAGAGAUGCUUGGCUGCUAUAGUACAAAGGUUGAGUCAGAGCCAGAAACAGUGAUAGAGCGUCUGGAGGAAAGGCAGGGCCAACCCUGGGGAGCUCAG
ensembl:lncRNA